rnacentral:tRNA from 1 species
GGGCGGGUGGCGGAAUUGGCAGACGCGCACGGUUCAGGUCCGUGUGUCCUUAUGGACAUGGGGGUUCAAGUCCCCCCUCGCCCA